ACCCUAGAUCCCGUGCCAUCCCGUUCCCUCCCCCCUCCUAGAAAAGGACAAACCCUCGUACAGAGAGCAGAUCAGAUCUGAGUAGCGCCGAGGCUUCCGGGAUGGAGAACUUCAGGAUGGACGACGACGACGAGUUGUUCCACCGCUACGACCCUGAGGUGCUGGCCGCCAACGGCAUCGAGUACCCCCCCGACGAUACUAGGAUGCGCAUGAAGUGGUGGGCUUUUCUGAUGCAAGUAGAGGGUAAUUUGAGACCUACAAAUAUGUCGGUACCUUCGGCAAAGAUCAUCAGGUACCCAGAUAGAUCAAAUGGAGAAGGCAUGGGGAUGGUGGAGGCUGCUGCCCAUCUAUCAGGGCCUCGGUUCGGACAUGCCCCUCUACCGGGAGUACCUCUGCGAGUACUACCUCCGCAAUCCUCCUGAAUCUGUCGAUGACUCUGCCUGUACCAGGCACAAGUUUGUGGUCCGAUCUGCAUGGACAAAUGAGAAUGGCCGUCUCAUUCCUCUCGCCCGCAAGGUAAUUUACUUGGAAACCUCCUGCCUGCAUCUGGUAGAUGUUUGACCCAUGUAUCAGGAAAGGUUUUAAGAACUGUGGUGUGCCAUAGUAUUUAGGUUCCCAAAAGUAGCCUAUUCCCCAUCUUUUUAUGGAUUGUAGUGUAUCUUUAAUAUAUUGCUCAUAUUAUUGUGUUUCAUGUGCGCUACUGAUGAUAGAUUGGUUGACUUUUCUUUUUGCAUGAUCAGUUUAUUUGUUAAUACUCUGACUCGGCACUCAAUCUAUAGAGUUCCCAGAAGCAUCCUACUAGGUAGGCACCUAGUAGAAAGAAUUUCUAUCCUACCAAUUCCUUCAAUGUAGUGCGUAAACGUUGUUUGGUCUCCAUAAUACAAACCACUCAUAAACUGGCUCUUCUUCAGUUUCUGGAAUAACUGAAAGUAUUUUUGCCCUGCUUCAUUUCUAGCUCGAUUGAAUGGUCAUCUAUUCUUUAACUGCUUGCUAAUCUACUUGCUUAUAUCAAUUGCAAAACGAUGGUUUCAAGUGCCUGGAGAUGGAGGCCAAGUUCAUCGGUCUGUGUGAGAGGAACAAGAUAAAAUUAACUGACACUGAGACUGCCCUGAGCCACAAAAUCAAGCAGCAUGCGCAGGACAUAGUUGAUGGAGCGUGUGAAUAUGCUGGUGCAUAUGCUGCCGCUGCUGCUUUGGUGUGUAUCUGCAAAGAGGCUGAGUUGAUGUGCGAGAGGGCUAUGUGCGGGAGAUACAACUCUGGUAACUUGACUUGCAUGCUCUGCAAUCAGCUCAGAGAGCAUGCCAUCAGUCUUAUGUUGUACAAAGGGUCUGGAUCCAUCGCCGCCGCUGCUGGUGCCGCCAUGGUGGUAAGAAAGUGUCUGGCUCGCCCAAAUGCUGACCUUUCUACCUUCACUGUUUUUCAUAGAUACGUAGAUCUGUACACAUUGCAUGAAAUUUACUGCAAAAACGAUGGUUCAAGCAGGGCGCUGCAAAGGAGGCCAAGCUGUUACGUGAGAAUCUGAGCAAUCUAAGCUGUGAUGAAGAAAUGUCUGUUUCCAUUCGGGAGGAAGCCUGUUGCAUUCUGCAGGACAUGCACACUGAAGCUUUUGGUGCUAAUGGGAAGAACAACAUUGCUGCUGCUGCUGCUGCUGGAGCAGAUAUAUCUACUAGGCACGGAUCAGCACUGUUGGGAAUUUGACUUGUACUGCAGCUAAUAACAAGAAAGAGCUAGGAAGUAAUGGUUGUACAGAAUGGAAUGAUGAUAAGGAAAACAUGGAGAGUAGUAAUGGGAACAACAUUGUUGCUGCUGCUGCUGGAGUAGGGAAAUCUUCAAGGAUCAGAGCUCUUGGGGACUUGACUUGUACUGCAUCUAGUGGCAAGGAAGAUAAUAAGAGGACACUAAGUAAUGGGUGUACAGAAAUGAAUGAUGCUAAGGAAAACAUGGAGAAUGUGAAUCAGAAGACUGGGGAAGAAUACAUGUGGAAAAAGAAGACCGAAGAAGAAGCUUACAUGGAAACUGCAUAAUAACUCAGGCCAAACUAGAAAAGGGAGAGAAGUGGAAGAGGAUGGCUAACUUGACGUGGGCUGAUGGUUGUGGUGGAACUUAGUUGAGAUGGUCUUUUAUAGUUGUGAGAUUGUUCUUACGGACCGUACUACUCUGUUUCCUUCAGUACCUAUAUAUAUAUUAACGUUGGAUUGAUGCGAUGGACCAUAUUUUGAACCUGCUUGGUUUGUAAUCAAAUCUGGGUAAUAUUAGCGGUCCACCUUUGGAACUGAAGUUAUGAUUUA